CGCAGGGUGGAGCAACGGUAGCUUGCUGGGGUUACAGCCCAGAGGUAGCGGGUUCAAUUCCCGUCCCUGCAA
rnacentral:tRNA from 1 species